rnacentral:rRNA from 1 species
AGCAGUAGCCACGGUAAUACAGAGGGUGCGAGCGUUAAUCGGAUUUACUGGGCGUAAAGCGUGCGUAGGCGGCUUUUUAAGUCGGAUGUGAAAUCCCUGAGCUUAACUUAGGAAUUGCAUUCGAUACUGGGAAGCUAGAGUAUGGGAGAGGAUGGUAGAAUUCCAGGUGUAGCGGUGAAAUGCGUAGACAUCUGGAGGAAUACCGAUGGCGAAGGCAGCCAUCUGGCCUAAUACUGACGCUGAGGUACGAAAGCAUGGGGAGCAAACAGGAUUAGAUACCCCCGUAGUCCCUGUCUCUUAUAC